GCCUAGUUCCGUUUUUGCAACGGAAGCGGGGGAACCACGUUUUGGGGUUAAUUCUGCGCAUGCAGAAGGGAUGCGUCUCUGCCAUCCUACCCGUCAGCUAACCUCGUCGGCUAA
rnacentral:sRNA from 1 species